rnacentral:rRNA from 1 species
CAGCGUCACGAGUGGCAAUCAUAUUUAUUGGGCCUAAAGCGUCCGUAGCCGGUUCUAUAAGUCUUUUGUGAAAUCGUUGCGCUCAACGUAACGUUGUGCAAGAGAUACUGUGGGACUAGGAAUUGGGAAGAGUUAGAGGUAUUCUGGGGGGAGCGGUAAAAUGCUAUAAUCCCUGGAGGACCACCAGUGGCGAAAGCGUCUAACUAGAACAACUUCGACGGUGAGGGACGAAAGCCAGGGGAGCAAAACGGAUUAGAUACCCGAGUAGUCC